UAGGACGACGCUGGCGGCGGGCUUAACACAUGCAAGUCGAACGAGAAAGGGUUCUUCGGAACCCGAGUAAAGUGGCGAACGGGUGCGUAACACGUAGGUAACCUGCCCUUGAGUGGGGAAUAACUACCGGAAACGGUGGCUAAUACCGCAUGAAGACCAGAGAUCGCAUGAUCUUCGGUUGAAAGACUUCGGUUGCUCAAGGAUGGGCCUGCGGCGGAUUAGCUUGUUGGUGAGGUAAAAGCUCACCAAGGCUACGAUCCGUAGCUGGUCUGAGAGGAUGAUCAGCCACACUGGCACUGAGACACGGGCCAGACUCCUACGGGAGGCAGCAGUGAGGAAUCUUGCGCAAUGGAGGAAACUCUGACGCAGCCACGCCGCGUGAAGGAAGACACCCCUAUGGGGCGUAAACUUCUUUUAUAUGGGAAGAACACCCUGCCCGGCAGGGUCUGACGGUACCAUAUGAAUAAGCACCGGCUAACUCCGUGCCAGCAGCCGCGGUAAUACGGAGGGUGCAAGCGUUGUCCGGAAUCACUGGGUGAAAUAGCGUGAGUAGGCGGGGCAGUAAGUCAGAGGUGAAAGCCCACGGCUCAACCGUGGAAUUGCCUUUGAUACUGCUGUUCUUGAGUCCUGGAGAGGUCGCCGGAAUUCGUGGUGUAGCGGUGAAAUGCGUAGAUAUCACGAGGAACACCGGAGGUGUAGACGGGUGACUGGACAGGUACUGACGCUGAGGCACGAAAGCGUGGGAGCAAACAGGAUUAGAUACCCUGGUAGUCCACGCCGUAAACGAUGGAUGCUCGGUGUUGCCCCGUUUCANGGGCAGUGCCCAAGCUAACGCAUUAAGCAUCCCACCUGGGGAGUACGCUCGCAAGAGUGAAACUCAAAGGAAUUGACG
rnacentral:rRNA from 1 species